rnacentral:rRNA from 1 species
GAUUAACGCUGGCGGCGUGCAUGAAACAUGCAAGUCGAGCGCGAUGCGAGCUUGCUCGCAUCUAGCGGCGCACGGGUGAGUAACACGUGAGCAACCUACCUCGGAGCCCGGGAUAGCCCUGAGAAAUCAGGAUUAAUACCGGAUGAUGUCGCCGUGGGGCAUCCCAUGGCGAAGAAAGGCUUCGGCCACUCCAAGACGGGCUCGCGGCCUANAGCUUGUUGGUGGGUAAUGGCCUACCAAGGCGAAGAUGGGUAGCUGGUCUGAGAGGACGAUCAGCCACAC